CAUGCAGUGAACCUCUUUGGGAUAAAAUUAAACUGGAAGUUGUGAGAGACAAAGCAGCUCUGGUGUGCAGAGCACAGACCUCAGCUCUUCAGCUCCACUGUUCUCUUCCUACUGGCCUGUAUUACCAACUAAGGUCAGAGAAAGCGUGGGAGUGAGUAGAAGAAGGAAAGUGCAGGAAGAGAAACAAAAUCUGUUUGAAUAUCCAGCUCCAAGAGGAAAGGAAAAGCCACAUGAAAGAAAAAUGUCAAGACUCAAGGCCAUUAAAUGAAAACAAAAGAUCAUCAGUUUCAAGGGAAAAGAAGGUAGCACAAAACUUUUGCCAUGGCAUCCAUUGAGUUUUCAAAGCAUGGAUAACCUUAUGACAGGGAGAACAGAGAAAGACGCUUCCUUCUUUUGGCCAACUCUGUGAAGAACCCUUAUGGAUACCAAGAGGCAGUGUAUCACAAAGUGCUGUAAAUUCAUCUUUGCAUCCACAGACUGAAGAUCAUUCUGGUGGCAGAUCAAAAUAGCAUUGUUCUGAUAUUUUCCCUCAUAAAUGCAUGAAAAGUUGGUCUCUUUACUUCACUGUAGUUCACCUCUUUGACUGAGUUCCACUUGAAAAAUUAUGAAAAACACACAAACACCCAAGUUUUCACAGAAAUGGUUAGCAUACAGUGUAACAGCCUUCUGCUUCUUUUGAUGUGGGUUCUGUCUCUCACUGCCAACAUACAGGCUUAUAAGCCUGUAUUCAUUCAUAUAUGUUUUGCCUAUUCUGUUAGGGAAUUUUUUUUCAGAUGAUGAUCAUUUUAACCUGCUGAACUUAUCUUUCUAGCUGGCAAAGAUACAACAUUUUAUCCCAGAUGAGUUUUCAGCACAUCUUUUGAUUUUGCUGGAAGCAACUGUAAGAUUAAAGCCAAAGGUACCAUUUAAUUUGUCUUUAACAAAACACACAUGCACACCCCAGGUUUUUGCUUCAUGGGAGAAGAUUUCACUUCCCUUCGACAGGAGAUUUUCUUACUUAUUUUGCUGUUUUUUAUUCAGAAGCUAACACCUAAUACUGAUAGUUUAGAUACUGUAAUUCUGGAUAAUAUCUGUUUUCUUGGUGAGAUGGGUCAUGCUAGGCAGGCCUGUGAAUGGGUUGCUGUUGACUAUAGAAUAUAGCUGCUUACCUACCUAUGCCUGUCAAACAAUUAAUGAACAUUUAGUAGUGUUUUAGCAGAUUA